GUUUUUUUAAGGCUAAUGUGGAAUUUAGCUAAUAUUUCAGCAGCAUGCUAGCUAUUUAGGCUAACUUUGGCUCUUUUUAUUUUUUGGCUAAUUUGGCAUUUAACUAAUAUUUUAGCUGGUUAUCAACUUCAGCAUCUUUACAUCCACUUUGGCCAUGAACAGAUUAGUCGACUAAUCGGAAAAAAUAAUCAGUGAUUAGUCGACUAUUAAAAUAAUCGUUUGUGGCAGCCCUAAAGACAGCAGAAUCAAACUUUAAAGACCGACAUUUUAAAAAUAGAUCAAAAUAUGAUAGAAAUGGGUCUUUAAGGUUACCUCUGUGAAAUCCAGCAGCAUCCCCGUGGUUGGGUCUCUGACCACGGAGAGUCCUGACUGAAGGGCGGAUGGGGAGCAGCUGAGCAGAGAGUCCGCAUCCACCUUCCUUUCUGCCACUCUGCGAAAACAACGUUUUUACCAAAAUUUGAAGAACGUCACACAGUUUCCACACAGAAAAUAUUCAAGCGUUCAUUCGUACUUGGGGAAUUUCUGAAAGCCAAAGUCCGUGUGGUGUACAGGAAGCCAGGCUGGGUCUCGCAGGAACUGCUUCUCCACUUCUGUCUGCAGGCUCAGGCUGGUGGGAGGAAGUCCAUGAGGAAGCUGCAGGAGAUACGAGGAUGUCCAGGCACAGGAUGUGUGAUGAGUUCAAACCUGCCAGAGCAUCCCAGCUCCAGCAGAGACAGCGGCAGGUCCGCGGGACCCACAGGGGGCACAUCUGCAAAACAAAGGGAGGGGAGGGGGGACACUGAAUGAAAGCAGGUUGGUCACAACUCCAACUGUAUAUCACCCGUAAUGUCCAGAUUCAUAGUGAAAAUGAUCAGUUAGCCUAAAAGCCCGUUUGCACUCCAGGAAACUAAAAUGAACAGCACUGUAAACAUGGGUUCAUACUUGAAUAUUUAUGCGGUAAAGCUACGGAAUGAAGCAGCGGGUGGCUGCUGUUAGCCAAAACACGAACACAACCGGUCAACACGAACUUAUUUUUUGUUAUUUGGCAAAUAAGUAUCGUUUUCAAAUAAAAGAAAACUCAAAGCGUACUUAUUCUUUCCAUUGUCCCACUCGUAACUGCAAGCUAAAAGUUGUCACCAUGUAGUUUCUGUUCACCGGAAGUUGUCAAAUCGCUAAGC
rnacentral:lncRNA from 1 species